CUUCUCUGCCUUUAUUUGGUGUGUGGGGGGUUUGGGGGCUUUACUAGUGAGUGGCAGAAUUUAGCCGCAAACUUACUGCCUGCUUCGCCGGAAAAUUUCAUGUGUUUAUUUGGUCUGGGGUAUAAGUUUGGGAUCAGACCUAAAGACUUUUUAACUUGUGCUCUCUGGAUCUUGAUUUGUUUGGAGUAAACUCACUGAUGCCAAUGGUCAGGACGGAGUAGUCAACCACCUCUUUAUUUACGGGUCCAUCUCUGAUGUUAUCCUGGUGAGGAUUUGAAUUCCUAGUUCUAGCUUUGUUUUUCUAGAACUUGUUAGACUUUGUUAAGUUUGUAAGUGUGUUUUACUUACAAGGCAGAAUGGGAUCCAAGGUAAAACUUGCACCAAUUGUUUAUUUUCAUAAAUGAUAUUUAUAUUCUUAACAACAAAAAAAAAAAAUUGAAAGAUGUUAGCAAAAAAAAUAUAUGAAUAUGUUGUGGGCUGCAUGGGAAAUGGGACCAACAAGUGGGCUCCGGAUGGUUAAAAGAGGUUCACAUGAGAAAUUGAAUAUUGCGUUAGUAAAGUUCAUUCCCCCUGGUGAUUUUGAUAUGCUUAUUUACAAGUUCGGUGUUCAAAAGAAAUAACUUAUUAUAAUCAUAUAACUAGUAGGAUUCACUGUUACGG
rnacentral:lncRNA from 1 species